rnacentral:snRNA from 1 species
GUGCCCACUUGGACAGCACAUGGACUACAGUAUGAAAGACGCAGACACAACGAGCAUGGUUCCUGCACAAGGGUGACACACAAAAUCAUCAAGUGUUCAAUCUAAAA